rnacentral:rRNA from 1 species
AUUGAACGCUGGCGGCAUGCUUUACACAUGCAAGUCGAACGGUAACAGCACUUCGGUGGCUGACGAGUGGCGAACGGGUGAGUAAUACAUCGGAACGUGCCUAGUAGUGGGGGAUAACUACUCGAAAGAGUAGCUAAUACCGCAUGAGAUCUAAGGAUGAAAGCAGGGGACCUUCGGGCCUUGCGCUACUAGAGCGGCUGAUGGCAGAUUAGGUAGUUGGUGGGAUAAAAGCUUACCAAGCCGACGAUCUGUAGCUGGUCUGAGAGGACGACCAGCCACACUGGGACUGAGACGCGGCCCAGACUCCUACGGGAGGCAGCAGUGGGGAAUUUUGGACAAAGGGCGCAAGCCUGAUCCAGCAAUGCCGCGUGCAGGAUGAAGGCCUUCGGGUUGUAAACUGCUUUUGUACGGAACGAAAAGCCCUCUUCUAAUACAGGAGGGUCAUGACGGUACCGUAAGAAUAAGCACCGGCUAACUACGUG